UAAAACAACAAGCCCAAACCCCUAGCAUGUCUCUGCGGUGGCCCUGGGCCGGAGUCCCCUCCCGGACCGUCCCAUCGCGUUACCUGAGGGGGUCCCAUGUGGGUGCCGCACCCCGGCCGCCGCCGCAGGCCCCGCCGCCGCCCCAAACCCCCCCACCUGUCCUCACCUCACAAUGGUAGCUGCAGAGCAGGAGGGGGGGCGGCCGCCCGGACCUCAUUACCAUAUUCUGCCUGGCAACAGCUAUCAGUGCUGCAUGCUGAUUGGCCAGGAGUCCCUAGCCCGGGCAAACGCAUCCCCCCCCCAAAAAAAGCACAAAGCGGCCGGGUCCCCAGGGGGGAGGUGAAGCGAAGCCCCCCCCAAUCCACAAGAAGGGGGGAACCCUUGCCAGGGCUUCCACCCUUCCCCAGCACCACCCACCAAUCACAGCGCCGCUCUCAUCCAAGCGCAGCUCCGCCGGGGCCUGCUCGCCAAUCACAGUGCGUCUCUCAGCGUCGGGCUCCGCCUUCCUGCUGUGGGAGGAGGCCCUACACUCCAGGACUCAGCCAGCCCUUCAUCCUCCAGAUGCAUCCAAGCAUCGUAUGAUGUAGGCAUGCCCAGAGUUCGAGCCAGUCUUUCACUGAAGGCUGGGGACCCAAAGGUCAGAUGUUGUCUUCAAGGAAGCAGAUUUACAAUGCAUGUAAUUAUCCCUUCUUGCAACCUCAGGUGCAGGACUGGUUUUUUUGGUACACAUUUGGAGUCCUUUGGUCAAGAGUUUGGUGUGUAUGCAGAUGAAUGAGAAAGUAGUUCUGUGGGACACAACACUCCAUAUAAAAUGGCACGCUUAUUUAUGUCUGCCUAUUAUAGGGCAGCCCUGACUGAAACAUUCCUACAAUAUAUCCUCAUUGGAUCUCGCCAGCUCCAGGGGCAGAGAUUUUUCAACAUCUGGCUGCUUGAUUGAUCUGCAAUAAAAGAACCCUCUGCCACACAGAAGAAGAUGGAACAACUAGCAGAUACAAGGACUCUAGUUAAACUAACUGCUUAGGGACUGAUCCCGUGAACAUUCUGAAGGCCCAGUGACUUCGCUAGAAGACAAUGUCAUUUAGCACGGAGAGAACUGGACCCUACUCGUCUUUACUAGGAUGCAGAUUUUUUGAAAUAUAAUCUGGUUCAAAGGCAUAAUCUUUCAUCGGAGGUUUGGAAACAUUAAUUAAAGCUUGACUCACUCCUUUGAGGUAGACAAAUAUCUCCAUAUUACUAAUGGGCAAAAUGAAGUAGAAUUUGAGUGAUUAUCUCAAGGUCACACAGUGACAGGGCCAAGAAUUAGGACUUAAGUGUCUUGCCUCUCAGCCCUUGUUCUUACCAUACAGUCAUAUGCUUGUCAGUACAACAAACAGUUUGCCAGAAUCUCAUGCCACCUCACUCAUCUACUUUCCACAGAACUCCCUUUCACUUUCUGUUUUUACCCACUUCCCCGCCCAUUUCACAACCUUGACUUUAUAAAAUGAACAACCUUCCCAAUGGGACAUUUUGCAUGGGUGGGUCAUGGUGAUAGCCACGGUCCCUCCUUGAAUUCUGGGCUUGCCAAGAGCACUGGAAUACUGAGCUUUAAAUAAUCAUCCUCUUCACACUUACAUUUCUUGAAAAACUCAGCAAAGACAAUCAUAGAAAUCUGCACCUAACUGAGCUUUAGCAAAGUAACCCCAGAAGAUGAUAAUGUCAUCAGACUAUUUUUAUAGAGAGCACCUAUUCAUUUUAUCACAAGCGAUUUGGAAACUGUCCCCAAACUACUUCAGUUUGGUGGGUUUUUUUAAGCAAAAGUUUUAUUUUAAAAAUUCCUUCUCUCCUAGGAGUUCCAAACACAGUUUUUUGCACCACAUGUCAUUUGCAAAAUGUUACACUCCAUUCCUUUUUAAUUAGGCUGCCAGAUGGGUAUCUGGUCUUGUGAUACUGAAAUAUCAGUUUAUCAUACCUACUGUCAAACCACAAUGCUACACUUUUUAAUGCAUUUGGGGCUAAUAGUCUCCCCCUUCUAGCUAGGCUUUGUGCAAAGAGAUUCUACAGCUGCUGAAGGGAAAUUAAUCCUCUGUGGCGGGCGUUAGACAAAUAGAAAUGGAAAACACUAUGAUGGCCCUUUCUAGACCCCACCACUUAUAUCCCCUCCCCCAUUCCGCAAGAGGCAGUGGCUGAUGGAUCGUUAUAGUAGCAGAUCCGUUGGCCCUGCUGCUGCUCCUUCCCUGAACUACUCAUGACCUGGAAAUGAGAAAAAGUCCUAUGCACCUUGGCUCUUCAACAAGACUAUAUAUCCCUUAAGUCUAGUCCCUGUGCAGCAGAACUGCACUAGUUCUGUUGCUUCUGGAGCCCUCUCUGCCUGCCUGUGAAAAGCAAGAUUUGCCUCUUACAACACAUUUUGUUUUUGUUGUGUCUCUGUUUUAAUGGGAAAUACGUCACGGGGGAGAAGCCCCAAAAUUUUACUUAUCUUUUGUUUCCCUGUUUAAAUGUGACAAUAUGGCUAUCUGGCUACUCUGGUUUCUGAGCUAGAGGAUUGUGAGUUCAAGUCCCACGUCUGGACUUCACCUGAUACCCAUUGCUAACACUGCAGCUUAGUGGUAGGAGGAUGCUGUACUAGAAGAGAUUGUCCCCAUUUACAACACUUCAGCAAUCUUCCUUGCAUCCGUUUCAGGAAAAAAAAAUCACUUGUGAUUGUGUGUGAAGAAUGUAAAAGUUAAAGAAUAUAAACGGUUUGUAAUUUUAUCUAAUUGUCCGAAUAUCUUGGGAUUUUUCUGUUUGCUUUGUUUUUUGGUGUAAGCACUCUUGCACA